rnacentral:tRNA from 1 species
AAAUUUAGGAUAGCACUAAACCAGGGGCCUUCAAAGCCCCAAACAAGAGCGCAGCCCUCUUAAUUUCU